GAUGAACGCUGGCGGCGUGCCUAAUACAUGCGAGUCGAGCGAACAGACGAGGAGCUUGCUCCUCUGACGUUAGCGGCGGACGGGUGAGUAACACGUGGAUAACCUACCUAUAAGACUGGGAUAACUUCGGGAAACCGGAGCUAAUACCGGAUAAUAUAUUGAACCGCAUGGUUCAAUAGUGAAAGACGGUUUUGCUGUCACUUAUAGAUGGAUCCGCGCCGCAUUAGCUAGUUGGUAAGGUAACGGCUUACCAAGGCAACGAUGCGUAGCCGACCUGAGAGGGUGAUCGGCCACACUGGAACAGAGACACGGUCCAGACUCCUACGGGAGGCAGCAGUAGGGAAUCUUCCGCAAUGGGCGAAAGCCUGACGGAGCAACGCCGCGUGAGUGAUGAAGGUCUUCGGAUCGUAAAACUCUGUUAUUAGGGAAGAACAAAUGUGUAAGUAACUAUGCACGUCUUGACGGUACCUAAUCAGAAAGCCACGGCUAACUACGUG
rnacentral:rRNA from 1 species